rnacentral:rRNA from 1 species
GCUACUACCGAUUGAAUGGCUCAGUGAGGCCUUCGGACUGGCUCAGGGAGGUCGGCAACGACCACCCAGAGCCGGAAAGUUGGUCAAACUCGGUCAUUUAGAGGAAGUAAAAGUCGUAACAAGGUUUCCGUAGGUGAACCUGCGGAAGGAUCAUUA